rnacentral:rRNA from 1 species
UACGAAGGGUGCAAACGUUGCUCGGAAUUAUUGGGCGUAAAGCGCACGUAGGCGGCUUUUCAAGUCCCAUGUGAAAUCCCACGGCUCAACCAUGGAAGUGCACUUGGAACUGCAGGGCUAGAGUCCUGGAGAGGAAGGUGGAAUGCUUGGUGUAGAGGUGAAAUUCGUAGAUAUCAAGCGGAACACCGGUGGCGAAGGCGGCCUUCUGGACAGUGACUGACGCUGAGACGCGAAAGCGUGGGGAGCAAACAGG